rnacentral:rRNA from 1 species
GACAGAGGGGGCAAGCGUUGCUCGGAAUCACUGGGCGUAAAGGGCGCGUAGGCGGGAUGGCAAGUCGGUCGUGAAAUCCUUCGGCUCAACCGAAGAACGUCGGCCGAUACUGCCGUUCUUGAGGGAUGCAGAGGAGAUUGGAAUUCCCGGUGUAGCGGUGAAAUGUGUAGAGAUCGGGAGGAACACCGAUGGCGAAGGCAGGUCUCUGGGCCAUAACUGACGCUGAGAAGCGAAAGCAUGGGGAGCGAACAGG